UACAGAGGGGGCGAGCGUUAUUCGGAAUUAUUGGGCGUAAAGGGCGCGUAGGCGGCGACGCAAGUGGAAGGUGAAAUCCCUCGGCUCAACCGAGGAACUGCCCUCCAAACUGCGUUGCUUGAGUCCGGGAGAGGCGAGUGGAAUUCCCAGUGUAGCGGUGAAAUGCGUAGAUAUUGGGAGGAACACCAGUGGCGAAGGCGGCUCGCUGGACCGGAACUGACGCUGAGGCGCGAAAGCGUGGGGAGUAAACAGG
rnacentral:misc_RNA from 1 species